AUUAGCAAGUGAGGUUGUCACCAGGUGAAACCCCGAGCUGACUACAGUAGUCCUCGUAAUACCCGACGCGUGCAUUAACAGCAGGCGUGUUUCCACCAUUACAUUCGACAGCACCAUUGAUGGCUCGAAUCGUGGCUCCAAAACCUUGGUCUAAGACAGAGUGAACAUUGUUCAUCCAAAACCACAAUGCAGUCUUGAAUGAAAUAAGCACGUCAGUUGCAACAAUUCCGGGGUUGCCCAAACCAUCAAAUCCAAUGCUGUUUCCAGCAGCACCAUAGUUGUAGUUCCAUGUUAGUUGGAGUGGUCCACGGCCAUAGUACUUCUGCCCGGCCACACAUGGAUAUUGGGUAUUGUUUGAAUCACAAUAGUCAUGAGAGGCACCAUCGAUUUCUUCAAUAUAACAAAAGUCUGCAUGCAUGCACAAAUUAUUAACAUUUAAGUUUACAUGUAUGUGAAAUAUUUUACUAACAAAUGUACCAUAAUUCUUAUAAAAUUAGCAAAAAUUUAGCAUUAGUUUUCAAAUUUAACCUAAGAAUGACUUGCAAGCUUAUUAUACAUGGACAUGCAGAGUCAAAUUAAUGGCUAAGAGCAAUGGAUUCCGAACUAUUUAAAAUUCAAUUAAAAAAUUGAUUGAAAACUAUUCUUAAAAUAGGUUUUGCUCUAAAUAACAUUAAAUAAAAGUUUGUCCAUUUUAAAAACAAUACUAGACUGAAAACAUUUUUUGAGAAUUUGUUCUAAAAAAAAAUUAGGGUAUUUUCGGAUUUUUUUUUAUAGAGUAAUUUUACAAAUAAUUAAAAAUAUAAAAAUAUUUUAUAUUGUACAUAAGACUAGAAAGAGGGUAUGCACAUAUAUCCAUGGAUAAUAAAAAAAAAUUAAAUAGUUGGAAUUUAAGGCUUUAUAAAGCAAGUAUUAGACAAAGAAAAUCUUACGUCCAGUCUCUUGUGUGACAUGGGCGAAGAAAGCUGCAAUCUCGCGCUUAGUACCAUUGGCAGAACCAUCGUUGCCGAACUGAGAAUACGAAUUCGAGGCAUUAAGAAACGCUGCACGGGUGUAGAAAUUCUUCCCAGCACAACUCGAAGCAGCUUGAUUAAUUAUCCCAUCGAAAAAUGCCUGUGUCACAAUAUCAGCAACCGAGCUGCCACCACCGGAAGAACCAUUGCCGCCACUUGAAUAACAAGGACCCGAUUGGCAAGUGUUACCACAGUAGUCAUUGCCGGUGCCACAGUACCCGUACUUACUGCAACAUUGGUCUGAGGCACACCCACAGUUCUGAGCCACUGCAGCUCCGCAAAGGGCCCCGACAAGAAGGAUUGUUAGUAGCUUGGCUGCCAUUUUUGGGAGAUGUUUUGUGGAAGAAAGAAGGGAGAAUAUGUGAGGUGAAGAUGAAAACUAUGCUUGUCUUGGAGAGGUAUUUAUAGGGCAGGUAGGAGAGUUCUAGUACAAGAUGGUAGUGUUUUUUUCAAAUUCAAUUGCAACAUGCAAUUGACUGAAUGGAGGAGUGUGGAAAAACGGAAGGCUUUGUUUCAAAUUCAUAGAUAUAAUGUACAUUGCAUCAAUGUCCUGAUUUUUUUGGGUUAUCUAAUAGAAACAUAUGCAUGUUUCUCCACAUACAUAACAAAUGAUAUUGCCUAACUUUGAAUUUAGAAACCCUAGUAAUUAAAGAAGUUGGAUGAAGAAAUGUUUGUUAGACAUGGGAAAAAAUUGCAAUCAAAUGACGUGUGAGGAAACUUGUUUUUGGCCUUCACUGAUAUCUUCUUUGGCUCAAUUGGGAUGUGGGGUUGGAUGCAAAACGAUCAUAUGCAGGGUUUGAAAAUUUUUGCCACUCCCAUCCAAGACAAGGAUCAACUCAUCAUUUCCUUACUAUGGUUGCAUACCAUUCUACACAAAAAUGUGGGACAAACUUGGAUUGAAGUCAGCCAAAAUUGAUGGGAAAAAAAGUGACUAGAUAAAAUCAAGUCAAGACUCGUUGCUAAUUCAGUUAGAGUCGUUAAAUUUGAAUUUAACAGGUAAUGACAAGAAUAAGCCAUUAAAUUUGAAUUUAACAGAUAAUGACAAGAAUAAGCUCAUCAUACCCAGAAAUUAACAUUAAAUUAGAAUAAUAAUAAAAUUUAUUUUCGAACAUGCCGUAUGGAAGAACAGUCUUAAUUUGCUUGAUAUGUUUACUUUUGAAGAUGAAUGUAUUCUUUGUGGAGAUUGAACUGAAGUUUGGUAUGGAAUUUUUGGAGUCAUAAAAAUAAAAUUUAAUAUUCAUCUAAUCAUUUGAUUAAGAAGGUUAGUUCUUGAACUUCUUUUAGGAUUCAAUUUCUAGCACCACAUCCUCCAUAACAAGGCAUCACAAGCAGCUCCACGACGCCGGGUCGCGGCAAGGGCUUUCAAUUCAUGGCCCCAUGAGAAAUAAGAGUUCAAAAUAGAGUUGCUAAUUCAUGGGCCACAUGAGAAAAUAGCCAAAGUCUAGGUCCUGCGAGUCUAUGAAGAAGUUCAACUAAAGCUGCAGUUUUAAGAUACGGUUUCUAAUUUAUAUUAAAAUUGUCAUUUUUUUUAUGUGAUUUUGAAUGUUUCCUUGAGUCACGAAACCAUGUAAUUAUCUUUUUUAUUUUUUCUAUCUUAAAAAAAUUAGACUAGCUAUUGUUUUGCUUAAAAAGGCCAAUUGAUUCAAAAUUCCAUAUUCUAGUAAAAUCCGUAUAAAAUAAUAAUAUUCUUAAGAUCAAAAGAAAUUAUUUUUUAAUGGGUUAUUGAUUUAAUAAGUGAAUGAUUUAUUAGUUUAUUGAUAAGUAAAUUUUUUAUUAAUUCAAAGAGAGUAUUAUGUUUUUAUUUCAGGUUUAUACAUGAAAAAUAUAUAUUUAAGAUGACAUUUUAUGCAUUGUAAGAAAUUAAGGAUGAGGUUGAAUUUAAUUUAAGUAUAAAGAAAAGGCACACAACUUUAGACGCAUAUUUUAAACUUAGUUGAUGAGAAAAUAGAAAUCACAAAAAAUUAUUUAAUAUUUUAUUAUUGAUUCUUGUUUGUUAUUGGUUUAUGUACUUCAUUAAUUUAAAUCUUGAAGGAUUUAUAAAACAAAAUUAUUAUCUUUUACAUAUAGCAACGUUAUUAAUAUAGUAUAUUAACUUGAUUUGAGACCAUAAAAUUUUAUUAUUUAAGCAAAAUUAUUAAUUUAUCAAACAUUUAUUUAUUGAGAUUAUUAGAGUUUGGUAACCCGAAUUCUAUUUAGUCCGACUCAAAAAGCUCACGGUACAACAUAUGGAGUGAAACUAAAAUUAUGAGAUUUUUGGAUGGUCUAUGGUCGUAGCAAAGGGAUCGAGCUUAUGUAGUAAUCAUUCAAAUCUCUCAUUUUUUGUACUAAUUUUUUUAUAUAAUGGAUUUUCUUCUCCACUACAUGUGAUUUUUCCUGUGUAAGGCAGUUUUUCAUGUAAAUUCGUGUGUUUUUUUUUUUUUUCUUAUUACAUAUUCACGUUUUUCCAUAACAGAGAUUUUAUUAUAGAAGUAUACUCAAUGCCAACCUCUUCUACUCUAAUGUUAUCAAACACACCACUCCUACGCUAUUCAUUAAUUUCCUAUAUGCAAUAAUACCCCAUAAAUGAAUGAGUGGAUGGCAUUAGAGCACUAAUUUCAAUAGUAAAUUACUAGCCGCCCUACCAUUGUUUUCUUUGGUAGAUUUCUCCAUAUCAUUAGUGUAAGAGUUUGGUACCUAAAUUCUAUUUGUUCUAACUCAAAAAGCUUGUGGGUCUGAUCCCAUGACCUAUGAUUGAUCUAAGGGUUUCACCCGCAUGGUAUGGAUUUGCUUUGUUAUUGACUCUCAUGAAUUUCCUUCUCUAUUCAUUAUUUUUUUGUCUAAGAUUUUAUACAUUAAUCUAUAGAUUCUUAUUCUUUUAUUCUUUUAUUACCUUUUCUCGUUUUUGUGUUACAAAUAUAUACUUUACAUAGAUCUUAAUUAAAUUCACAAAUUUGUAUCUCUAUUAUCAUAGAAGUCCAAAGCUUUUAUACCGAUAAAUUAUAUAACUGAAUAAUACAAAGCUUUUAAUACUAAUAAACUAUAUAACUUUUAUUCAUUGAUGGAAGAACAUUACAACUGAUUUUAGGACAAAAAAUCAUGUUCAUGUUCUCAAAGUUACUUCAGAGACUCCAUGGGAAAACCCUAAAUAGGAUUUGAUACGCAUUUUUCUUAUUUUCCUCGUAGCUCACAUAUACUCCUCAUAUAACUUGGCUAGGGUUGUUAUAUUAUUGUCUGCCUUAGCAAGCGAGGUUCUCACCGGGCGAAAUGCCGAAUUAACUGCAGCAAUCCUUAUAAUACUUGAGUCGUGUGCAUUAACUGCAUCCGUACGUGUUUCCACAAUUACAUUCAAUAGCACCAUUGAUGACUCGAAUUGUAGCACCAAAACCUUGGCCUAUGACAGAGUGAACAUUGGUCAUCCAAUACCAUAACGCAGGCUUGAAUGAAACAACUACGUCAGUUGCAACAAUAUCAGGGUUUCUCAAGCCAUCAAACCCAUUGUUUUUCCGGCAAGGCCAUGGUUAUAGUUCAUGUUAAUUGAAGUCAUAGUAUUUCUGCCCAGCCACACAUGGAUAUUGGGUAUUGCUAUUAUCACAAUUGUUCUUAGAGGCACCACCUAUUUCAUUUAUGGAACAAAAGUCUGCCUGUACAAAUUAAUAAUAUUAAUUCCAUGCAACAUUUGUGUGAAUUCAUCAUAAAAUUAACUCAGAUGUAGCAUUACCCGUCAAAUUCAAGUUAAGAUGGCACCUAUAUAAGAUAGGAUAGCAUAUGAUUUACCUAGUGAUAGAUGACCAUUUUAAUUUUUUUUUUUUAAAUGAUUAAUUCAUAAACAUUUUAAAGCCCCAAGGGAAAAUAAUUACCUUUUUUUGGGGUCCAGCAUAAAUGUAAUUCAUCGCCUUUUAUCAUAAUAUAUAUUUAGGUGAAGCAUACACGCAAUCAACGUUCCGUGAAAGUAUACUUAAAAUUAACUUUUUUUGGAUUAAUAGCUCGUAGAUGAAAUUUUUUUUUUUUUUUUCUUACUACCAUGCUUUCUUAAAAAUAACUCAUUUUUCUAUCUAGUAUGUAUAUAAUUUUCAGGUUAUUUACCAUAUUAUUUAGGUAUGAGUAAUAGUUGUGGAGACAUAUCCAAAACUUAAAAAUAAUUAUUUGAUGCAAUUUAGGUAAAAUAAUUGUUUGAGGCAUGCUUAAAACCCAAAAAUUAUUUUGUGAUGAAUUUGGAUUGAGCACGAAUGUAGUCAUAUAUCAUAUUUAUUUAGAUGAACCUAAAAACAACUCAUUUUAGAUUAAGGAUACAUGCAAUUAAUACUAUGCAUAUACAAUUUCAUCCUCAUUUCCUGUACUACUGGAAUACUCAGAACUUUUAAGUCAAUACUUUGUAAGUAUAAGUUAUUUUAAUAAACUCUAAGGCUAUAUUUGGUUCCCAUAAAAUUUGAGGGAAAAUAUAAGGAGAAAAAAAUACAAAGGAAAAGUAGAAGAAAAAAAAAUGAAGGAAAAUAAAAAACUAUAUUAAAAGCCAAUAAAUUAUUUUUUUUAUUACUUCAAACUCAUUUUAUUUAUUUUAACUCAUUAAUAUAAAUAUUAAAAUAUUAAAAAAUACAUAAGUUUUUAAUUAGUUUUAAUUAUAUUUGAUUUUCUUUUAUAUUUUUUAUAAGAGAACCAAACAUGAAAAAAUCAUUUUUCUUGAUUUUUUUUUUUUUCUUUCCUUUGUAUUUUUUGGUAACCAAACAUAACCUUAAUGAAUAAUAACAUCAACGUCUUGAAUCAAGCAUACAUGCAUGUUUCUCUAGUGACAUGACAAAUAACAUUGCAUAACCUAGAACUUAGUAACCCUACCAAGGAUUUUUGACAAAGAAAUGUCUCUUAUAUAUUUCAAAGCACACGUGUAUCAUAUUUAUCUUAUCUGGCAACACCUAUCGAUACUUAUCUUCUUUGACUUAUUUGGAUUGCAUGUGGGGUUAGACGUAAAAAAAUCGGAUGCUUUGAAAAAAAUUUCUCAUCCAUUUAAAACAUGGACCAAUUUAUUUUCUAUUUGUCCCUUUUAGAUGGGACAAAGAUAAUUAAUUUCCAUCGGAUAAGACAAUGCAUCAUACUAUUCAACCUAAAAAAUUAAGUUAGACAAACCUUAUAAAAGAUUGCCAAACUUGAUGGAGAAAGGUGACCAGAUAAAAUUACGUUAAGACUCUUUGCUAAGCUCUUGAUGACUAAAAUUUGAUUGGAGCCGAAGUUAACAGAACUCUUUGCUUGAUAUAUUAUAUAUAUCAUGACUUAGGAAUCAAUUCAUACCACCGCAGCCUGGCUGGUCCUAACCAACACGGCAUCGCAAGCAGCCCCACGGCACCGCGUCCCGCCAGGUGUUGUCAGUUCAUGGUCCCCAUGAUAAAAUGUUUGAAUGGGUAUGGAUUAUGUGUGUUAUUAUAUAUCAAGCUAAAAAUAUCAAGAUAGGAACAUCUAGGUUGGAUUUUAUAAAAAUAUCAAAAUAUAAGACAAAAAUUUUAAGAAAUAUAUUUUUGUGAAGGUAAAAUUUUAUUUAAAUAAAUUUUAAUAUUUUAAAUACCUCAAAUGUUUAAAAGUGAUUCCUCUAAGAAGCUCAUAAGAAUCUAUUAAAGCGAAGUGUUAUAUCACAGACAUAAAUCAAGGUAUAGGUGUUGGAGAGUAAAUCUUUAAGAUAAAGCGAUCAAGUAAAUCUGUAUACUUUGAUCUUAUAUGGUAAAUUAUAAAUUAGAACUCUUAGACCACCGUGGUUUUUUGUCUCCAUAAUUAGUAUGAGGGUUUUCUAUAUAAAAAUUCCUAUGACCCUGACUUGAUCUUUGAUUACUUUGAAUAUCCUUAAUAUCUUCAAGUUUUAAUUGGGGCUAAUUUAUUUAGGCCAUUCUCCCAAAAAUACUUUUAGAGAAAACAGUUUCACCAAAGCCAUGUUUGAAUCCUGAAAAGUCCUAAGAAAAGAAAAAAAAAAAUACUAAGGAAAAUAAUUUUUUUAUGUACUUUGGCUUCACCAUGGAAAAUAUGAAAAAAAAAUUAAAAUUAAUUAGAAAUGUAUACAUUUUAAAAUUAUUUAAACUUUAAAUAGAAGAGAAAAAAAAAGUAAAAUGAGUUUGAAAUAGUAUAUAAAAAUAAUUUAUUAAUUUUAAAUUUUUUUUUCUUAACUCUUUUUUUCUUCUCUAUUUUCUUUCCCUCAAAUUUUUCAAUAACCAAAUAUAGCUUAAAAGUAUUUCAAAUAAAAACACUACAAAAUGUAUUCUUAAUGGUUGUAACUUAGAAUAAUCUGUAUUUUUUUUUUUUAAAGAUAGAUUUAUCCGAAAAAAUAAAAUAAAAAUCUCAAUCCUACUAACCCUUUUUUUACAAAAAUAUUCGACUCCUAACUUAAAAACAAAAUGCUUCGUAUCUAAAUAUGGUUAAAUCUCUUUCUCUCCAAAAUUCCUUGCCACCCAAAAUUUUUAAGAAAUAAAAUAUAGAAGAACAUGAAUUUUAUGAGGACUUUAAGGUAUUAUACCUUAAUUAAAAUCACAAAUUUGUGUCUUUAUUAUCACAUAGAUCCAAACCUUUUGAUAGUAGUAAACAAUAUAACUUUUAUUCAUCAACGGAAGGACAUUAUAACAAUAUGAUUUUACAACAAAAAUCAUUUGUCAUGGUGUCAAAAUUACUUCAAAGACUGCAUGCAGAGCAUUAUAUGGCAAAAGCCCUACUAAGGGUUUCAUACCACAUAACUCUUUAUUCUUCCCAUAGUUUACGUAUACCCUUCAUAUGUAUAAUUCAAUUGGAGUUUGCAUACGUAUGACUUAUCAGCAAGUGAGGUUGUCACCAGGUGAAACCCCGAGCUGACUGCAGUAGUCCUUGUAAUACUGAACGCGGGCGUUAACGGCAGCUGUGUUUCCACCAUUACAUUCGACGGCACCAUUGAUGGCUCGAAUUGUGGCACCAAAACCUUGGCCUAUGACAGAGUGAACAUUAUUCAUCCAAAACCAUAAUGCGGUCUUGAAUGAAGUAACCACGUCAGUUGCAACAAUUCCAGGGUUGCUCAAGCCAUUGAAUCCAAUGCUGUUUCCAGCAGCGCCAUAGUUGUAGUUCCACGUUAGUUGAAGCGGUCCACGGCCGUAGUAAUUUUGACCGGAGACACAUGGAUAUUGGGUAUUGCUUGAAUCACAGUAGUUAUGAGAGGCACCAUUGAUUUCUUCAAUAUAACAAAAGUCUGCAAGCAUGUACAAAUUACUAAUAUUUGAGUUUACAAGUAUAUGAAGUAUUUUGCUAACAAAUCAUAGUCAAAUUAACGACUAAGAGCAAUAGUAAAAUAUUUUUAGAGUAUUUUUAAAAAUAUGAAAAAUAUUUUAAUAACUUUUGUAUUAUACGACAAAUGUGAAAAAUAUUUUUUCAUAUUUAAAUUUAUAAAUAAAAUUUUGUCUUUAAAAAUAAUUAUAAAUUAUUUUUUGAAAAAGUUGUCGAAGAAACCUAAAGUUUCAUAACUAAAAAUAAAAAUAAAAAAAGAGUAUUGGGUAUAUAAAAAUAAAUAAAUAAAAUAAGAUAGUUGGAAUUUAAGACUUCACAAAAUAUUAAAAAGGGAAAAUCUUACGUCCAGUCUCGUGUGUGACAUGAGCGAAGAAAGCUGCAAUCUCGCGCUUAUUAGCAUCGGUAGAACCAUCGUUGCCGAACCCAGAAUACGAAUUCAAGGCACUGAGAAACGCUGCACGGGUGUAGAAAUUCUUCCCAGCACAACUCGAAGCAGCUUGAUUAAUUAUCCCAUCGAAAAAUGACUGUGUCACAAUAUCAGAAACCGAGCUACCACUGCCGCUACUUGAAUCACAAGGACCCGAUUGGCAACCGUCACCGCAGUAGUCACUGCCGGUGCCACAGUACCCGUACUUACUGCAACAUAGGCCUGAGGCACACCCACAGUUCUGAGCCACUGCAGCUCCGAAAAGGGCCCCAACAAGAAGGACUGUUAGUAGCUUGGCUGCCAUUUUUGGGAGAUGUUUUGUGGAAGAAAGAAGGGGGAACGUGGGAGGUGAAGAUGAAAAAUAUACUUGUUUGGGGAGGUAUUUAUAGGGCAGGUAGGAGAGUUUAGUGGUGUUUUCAAAUUCAAUUGGAACAUGCAAUUGACUGAAUGGAUGAGUGUGGAAAAAUUCCACACUUGCACUUUGGCCAUAUAUGGUAUUGGUUUUGAAUUUAUCAGUAUGUAUAAUUUUAUCAACAUUUCUCAUGUACAUUGAAUCUAUGUCCUGAAUUUUCGGGUCAUAUAAUACAAACAUAUGCAUGUUACUCCACAUGAUACCGCCUAACUUUGAAUUUUGAAAUCCUAGUAAUAUUUGAGGAAGUUCAAUAAUGAAAUGUUUGUUAUUGCACGCCAUUGUAAUGACGUGUGAGGAAAUUUAUCUUGGACUGAGUUGGGUCGUGGGCUUAGAUGCAAAAAUAUCAUAUGCAAGGUUUGAAAAUUCUUUCCAUUCCCAUCCAAACCAAGGAUCAACACGUACAUCAUUUUAUUUUAUUUUUUUUAUUUUUAUUUUUUUGAGGACAGGCCGACCAAACUUGAUGCUAAAUAAAAUUACGUCAAGACUAAUUCCUAACUUCUAGAGAGCUAGAAUUUAAUUUGACAGGUAAUGACAAGAAUAGGGAUCAUCAUAUCGAGAAAUUAACAUUAAAUUAGAAUAAUAAUAAAAUUUAUUUGCAGGCAUGAGGAUGGAAGGCGAUCGAGUCUUAAUUUACUUGAUAUCUUGGCUUAUGAAUAUGAAUGUGGAGAUUGAACUGAAGUUUGGCAUGGAAUUUUUGGAGUCAUAAAAAUAAAGAUUAGGAAUCAAUUUAUAGCACCACAGCGUCCACCACACGGCAUCACAAGCAGCCCCACGACGCCAGGUCGCGGCAAGGCGCAGGGUCGCGGCAAGGCGCCGGGUCGCGGCAAGAGCUUUCAGGCCAUGGUCCCCAUGAGAAAUAAGUGUUCAAAAUUGACUUGUUAAUUCAUGGUCCACACGAGAAAAUGUUCGAAGUCUUGGUCAUGCGAGUCUAGAAGUUCUACUAAGCUGCAGUUUUAAAAUAAGGUUUUCAGAUUUACAUUAAAAUUGUACCGCCUGUUUAGUCAAUUUUUUUAAAACUUAUUUUUAAAUUAAAAAAGUAAAAAAUAAUUUUUUAGUGUUUUAUAACGAUAAGGGUGUUUGAUAAGUUGCUUUUACAAAUAAAUAAUAAAAAAAUUUCUUAGAUAAGUUGUUUAAAAAAAAUUCUUUUUUGGUUUUAUAAAAAUAUUGUAAAUUCAAUUUAUAUAAUAUAAAUUAAAUUUAAUUCAGUUCUUAUUAAAUAUAUAUAUAUAUAUAUAUAUAGUUUUUUAAUUACGAAUAUAUUAAAAAUAAUUUUGAGUAAAAUAUGAAAAAUUAUAUUAUUAUAAAUAUAAGUUUAUCAUCAUUUAAUAAUUGACAUAAUGAUUUUCUUGACAUAUUUUUAUUUGUAUAAAAUAAACAAAAGAUUGUUACCUUAAUGCAAUGAGACUUUCAACUUGUUUAUAUUUUCUUCACCACAAAAAUAAAAUUCAUCUUCAACAAUAUUAAGUUACGAAAAAUCUUAAAUUUUCCAUUCUCCUUCCUAUCAAAAUGAUUAAUAAAGAUUAAAAAAAAUGUGUUUUGUACUCUCUAAAAUUUAUUAAAUUAAAUUGUGAUAAAUAUUAUAUGUAAUAUAUUUAAUUCAUUUUUAUCUUAAUUAAUUGAUUUUUUUCAUUAGGUAGUAAAACUAUAUAAAAAUUCUCUUUAAUAUAAUAAUGUAUUAAUUUAAAAGAAUUGCGAAAUUUUUAUAUUUCUAAAAAUAUAUAGAAUCAAUCUCACUUGUACUUUUUUUUUUCUUUUUUUCUUUUUUUGCAACUAUCAUAUAUUACAUCUUGUAGCCAAGUUUGACCCUUAAGUCUACCAAACACCACCUUCCACAUCCACUACCCAACCCACUCUCACCUCUCACAUUUUCCUCCCAACUUCCCUUAUAAAUCAUUAAAGACACCACUCCCACCCUAUUUAUUAACCCACAACGCAAUGCCCCAUGUGCAAUGACACCCACGUGAGUGAGUGUAUGGCAUGUAAGAAUGGCAAUGGAUCGGGUUUUUUCGGAUAACAACCCCGUCCCACCCAUAAUGGGACAGAGUUCAAUUUUAAUAAACAGGUUUUGAAUGGAUUUGAGAAUUUUUCUUAAAACCCAGAUUGGGUUCGAGUAUUACCCUACCUCGUCCCGAUUAUAUAUAAAAUUAAUUUAAUUUAAAUUUUAAAAUUAAUUUAAUUUAGUUUUUAUUUUACUAUUUUUAAUAUAUAAAUAAUAAUAAAAUAUUUUUAAUAAAAUAAGUUAUAAAAAAAUAAUAAUUUAAUUAUUUAUAAAAUAUAUUUAUUUUAAUGUAAUUAAAAAGUUUAAAAGUAAUUUAAAAAAAAUUAAAUUCAAAAAAAAAGUUAAAAGGGGCGGAACAGGUAUAGGAAUUUAUCAUACCCGUUCCAUUUAAUUUUUUAAAUGAGAUGGGGAUGAAAAUUAUUUUGAAUAAAUGGAGCUGGGUUGGGAUGGGGGCGACCCGUCCCGAACCCACCCUGUUGUCAUCCUUAAGCAUGAGAGCACUUAUUUCAAUUUACAUUACUAGCCAUACCACCAUGUCUUUUCUUAUCUUUUCAUUGUCUUGUUCUUAUGGAGGUAGAGCUCUCCUUUUUUCCUUUUUUUGUUUUUUUAAUUUAAUUUGUUAGUAUUUAUCAUAGAAAUCCCAAGCUUUUUAUGCUAAUAAACUAUACAAAUGAAUAAUCUAAAGCUUUUAUUCAUUGAUAGAAGAACAUUACAACCAUAUGAUUUCAGGACAUAAAUCAUGGUCAUGUUCUUAAAGCUACUUUCAAAGACUACAUACAUACCACAUAUCUCUCAUUUUUCUCAUAGCUCACUUAUUGUCUUCGAUACAUAACUUAGCUAGGGUUUGUACAUUGUUGUCUACCCUAGCAAGUGAGGUUAUGUUGAGAUAUUAUGAUAUAUUCUAGGAAAGUCGUUGUCUAAACAAUCGAAACUGUAGAUUUCUAGAUUUAACUUCCAGGACCAUUCCUCCAAGAGGUAAGGAGGUUAACCAUACGCAGUCAUUUUCACACAAUCAUAAAGAAAAUUUAUUUCCAUCAUAACCCGGUUUAUCAUUCAUGAUAUCAUUUGAAUCAAUGGUUUUUUCAUCAUCCACUAAGGAAAUUUUGGUCCCCUUAUGUACCUAACUGAUCAAUCCAAGUAAUACAUGGUAGCUACCAACUGGACAUGUCCCAUAAGCGUUUUGCAUCACGAAAUUUAGAUAGGGUACUCUUUACCUCGGGAUCGAUUGUGUUUGUAAUCCAAGAAACCAACAUUGCAUUGACGGUGUUCCAAUCAGAUUGGGUAUAUGGAGGUUGUGGUCCGGUGAUAGUGUCUUCCAAAAAUUCGAACUUGCGGCGUGCCUCCAAUGCCAACUGAAUAUCGGAAGCCCAAUCAUCGUAAUUGUCGCUGCGUAAGCGAGUGGGAGUGAUGAAGUAGCCUGGUCGGUCUCCUGUGCCGAGAAAAAAAGGUGAAUUCAUCUCCCUUUUAGGUGGCGGCAAUGGUGGUUGUUCAUCGUCGCCGGCCAUUGUUUUAUUGUGUGUGCAUGUCAGUGCUCUGAUACCAUGUAAAGUGUGAUUAAAGGGUCAAAGCUUAACCCUAAUUGAUAUUCAUCCAUGUAAAUAUAUAGUACAUCAAGCAAACCUAAUUAAGGGAAAACCGUGAGUUUAGGAAACAAUCCUAAACAAUAUAUAGUACAUCAAGCAAACCUAAUUAAGGGAAAAUCGUGAAUUUAGGAAACAAUCCUAAACAAUGCCGUGAGUUUAGGAAACAAUCCUAAACAAGAGCAACGACUUUCCUAGAAUAUAACAUAAUAUCUUAACAGGUAAUCACCUGGUGAAACACCAAAUUGACUGCAGUAGUUUUUGUAAUACUGGACACGUGCAUCAACCGAGGACGGGCUACCACCAUUACAUUCAAUAGCACCAUCAAUGGCUUGAAUUGUAGCACCAAAGCCUUGGUUUACAACAGAGUGAACAUUGUUCAUCCAAAACCAUAACGCGGUCUUGAACGAAAUAUCUGCGUUGGUUGCAACAAUUCCAG
rnacentral:lncRNA from 1 species